UACGGAGGAUGCAAGCGUUAUCCGGAUUUAUUGGGCGUAAAGCGUCCGCAGGUGGUUUUCCAAGUCUGCUGUUAAAGCGCGAGGCUUAACCUCGUACAGGCAGUGGAAACUGGAUGACUAGAGUAUGGUAGGGGUAGCGGGAAUUCCCAGUGUAGCGGUGAAAUGCGUAGAUAUUGGGAAGAACACCAGCGGCGAAGGCAGCACCCUGGGCCGGUACUGACGCUGAGGAGCGAAAGCGUGGGGAGCAAGCAGG
rnacentral:rRNA from 1 species